CUCACCCCGCGCUCUCGCAGCUGGACGGCGCUCUCCUCUUCCUCUUCCUCCUCCUCCUCCCUCUUCAUCUUCUUUAGAGAAACCGAGGGGAGAGGAGCGAGGGAGGAGGAAGAAGGGAAGGAGGAAGGAGAAAGGAAAGAGAGGAAGAGGAGGAGGAAGAAGGAAAGGGAAAGGAGGAGGAAGGAGAUGUGAAGGAAGGGAAAAGGAAGAGGAGGAGGAAGAAGGACAACAACCCGCCGGGGCUGCCAGGACCCACGGGAGACCGCGCUCGAGGGGCACACGAGGGUGGACUGGGGACAAUGGGAGCUGCUGGCCAACCGCCCUUGUGGCUCGGAGGCCUUUCAGAGCCCGGCCGGCAUCCCUCCACUAGCCUUGCCUCUCAGCACAACAGAACGAACAGAACCAAGGCAGCCUUGCAGAGGCCACGGUGUCCCAACGCCCACCAGCUGCAUUCAUGACGUCCACGCAGGAGGAAUGUGCCGCAGGAGUGGGAGUCCACGCCAAAGGGCCGGGCCGGACGGAGGGCAGCAGGCCGUCCCCAGGCUCAGCCCCCUCCCCCUUCUCUUCCCAGCGAGCGGAGCCGGGCACACGGAGGGGCUCCUGCACUUUGUGGACUGUAUAGAAUAGCUCGGGUACCCGGCGAUGCCCUGAUUGUUGGAGCAAGGCAUUGUUUAUAAUAAUAAUAAUUUUAUUCUUAUAUCCCGCCCCAUCUCCCCAGUCAACAACAAUAAGAUAACACCAUAAAAGAGAUUAAAAACAAUGAAAACCAGUCAUAAAAAUUCACAUAUAAGGACAAAAGAUAAAAUCUAAAUAAAAUCAGGAGAAACCUGGCCAAAGUGCUAAUUUCGUCUGUUUGUUUUGGGGUGUGAGGUCCUAUGAGUUUGGUCGUAUGUUACACUGGUUUUUUUUAAAUAAAAGGAUCUUUUUUAGGAAUGCUCCCAUUAGAAAAUGCAUUAUCUGCUUGGAUUUUAAUGUAUUUGUCCAUUAUUUUAUUUUGUGUAUUGUUGGAAUGUUUUAAGUUUAUGUUAAAUAUGUUGUUGUUGUUCGGGCUUGUCCCUGUUGUGAGCCGCCCCGAGUCCCUUCGGGGAGAUGGGGCAGGAUAUAAAAAUAAAGUUUAUUAUUAUUAUUA